ACGAGUGGGCAUUAAGGCCGAAUAACUUCCCUUCCUGUUUCAGCUUCCAAAGCUUUGGGGCGGGGAGGUUCUUCAGGAGUUUUUCAUAGGGCUGCACUGGCAGUCGGCUCUCCGUCAGGACAUCCUGCCAGGAAGUUGACAUUUUCUACCCAGGUGACCAGGGACAGGGCUUGAAGGCUGACUGAGCAUCUGCUGUGGUGAGUCCCACACCGGCUCGAGCUGUAUGCAGACUGAGCCAGGCCUUUUGAGAUCACAGCGUAACUAAGGAGGUGAACACAGAGGAGGGAUCCAGAGCUCACAGCUGUGCCUGGCAGGAGGCAGAAGGGCAGGGGACCAUCUCCACUAGGCUAUACCUUCAGUUCAGUGUGUGCCUGAUGGUCUUCCAUAGGCUGUCACCGGCCAGGGCCAGAAGUGUCAGCCGGUCCCGACGGCAGCUUUCUCAUACCUUGGAAAUUUACAAACCUUACUUUGGCUGUCUUUGCUUGUCUGGAAAGAGCAGGUGCCCGUGAGAACAUUUAGCAUUGUGAACAAAUGGGCGUUCAGGAGCAUUUUGGUCGAAACUGAAUGUUAUCCUUCCUGGAUCCUAACUUGAUGGGGCCCCGUUUCUUAGCAGCAUGAGAAAUAGGUCACCAGAGUAGCAGGAAGCUGGGCAAAUGGCUAGAACAACAAGAACUAAGUUGGUUGGACCCAUUGAAGAAAAAAAAUCUAACAAAUGAGCUUUCAGAAUUAUAGGAUGAAUACGCCAAGAAGACCUGAAUUCUAUGGUAUUAUCUGCAGUGGCUGGGAGCAUUUGCCCAGGGAGGGGUUAGUGGUCGUAGCUAAUUUGUAAAGCAGAGUUUUCCUGCUGUCCUCUGUUAGUUCUUGGUGGCUCAAGUCACCCGAUGGCGCCCUCUGAGGUGGCUUCUUUCUCCUCUGUGGUGUGCAUCUGUCAGGGGAGCAGGAUGACCCACAGUCAGAGAGCGUGCCCCUCAGGAAAAGGAAGGGCGUUCCGUGGGACAGAGAAGUCAGGGUGGUAUGUUUGAGACCCGAGGCUGGGGAGUGGACUUUCAGCUGUGGCCUUGUCCCUGUUUCAGUAACAUGAGGGUCAGUCCCGCUGGCCCUGUCCCCAUCACUGUUCUCGGCAUCCGCUGCUGUCCUUUAGGCUUCCCUGGCUUCCGCUGGUGCACUUUGCCCUAAUUCCUUUAGUUUCUCCUCCAUUUUUCUGUGCUCACCACAUGCUACCCCUGCCCCAUUCCUGACCACCCAGCUUUCCUCUCCCUAAUGAUGCUUUCCCACAGCUCGGACCAGUCCUCCUGUCCCCUGAGGCUGGCCAGCCCUCCUGUCCCCUGAGGCCAGCUCUCCUGUCCCCUGAGGCCAGCUCUCCUGUCCCCUGAGGCCAGCCCUCCUGUCCCCUGAGGCCAGUUCUCCUGUCCCCUGAGCACCCCAGGAGCUACGCUGAGGAUCUUCAGUGCAAUCCUUAAAGCCCAUCUGCUGGAGAGCCCUUACUAGGCUCUGCUGAACCCCAAAGCCUCAGGUCACCUGAAGACAACUGAACAGGUUUGGACCCCAAGUCCUGAGGGCUGAAUCAGUGACACCCCUCAGUCUUUCGUGCCACAUUCUUGUAGUGGCCCCUGCAAGGAAGUUCCACAGAGAUGCAGAUGUGAAGAGACGCCUAGUUUCCCACAGAUCUCAGGACCUUGAUGCAGAACUGAGCGACUUAGCCUUCUGGAGCCAGAGCACCAAGUCAGCUCGGAGGCAUUUGGCAAGCAAUUAUCCCCAGCCCCGCCUUCUCCCAAUUGGCCCUGAUUUUACAGCCUCUUCUAUAUGGCUGUUCAAGUUCCUAGUCAUCUGGGAAAGCAAGCAGCAGCACAUUCUCCACGCAGGGACUUGUACUAAGUCACAUAGCGAAGCUGGGAUAAUGAGGCAGAAACUAGUCAUGCCAAGAUCCCAUCGGAGGGUAGGUCUGUGAUCUGCACUCGCUGCCCAAUAGAAGGAUGCCCAUUCUGACGCAGUGUCUCGUGUUUGCCGUGCACAGAUAAAGACAAACAGCCCUGCAGGGAUCCUAUCUGGAAGAGUGGCUCUGGGCAGGUGCCCCCAAGCCCUUCUGGGGAGGAAGAGGCUGUGGCCUGGUCCCUGUCCCAGGCUAUGAUCUUUAUAGUGCCACCGGUGGGGCCUGGUACUGAGAUGACAUUAGGGUGUUUCCCAGUCCCUAGACCACACCUUGAAAGAACUGCAUUCUCUUGCCAUCUCUGGGAGAUUCUGGCUGGGGCAUGUUCUUUGCAACUGUUUCCUACCCUGCAGCUUCAGGAUCCAGCUGGGAUCCCAGAGAAAUCCAGAGGGAACAGUUACUGAGCUCCAACAAAUGCAUUAUCUUUGUUCUCUCUAUGUAGAACCAGAUACAAGCUGUUUUUCUGUUUGUUUUGUCUUGUGAGUGAUGUGCUGGGCAGAAGGGCAGUGUGUUAGGUCUGGUUCAGUGCUCUCAUCUCCUAGGACCAAAACCAAGGUCAGAUGGACCUGCUGGGGAUGACUGAGCAAACAGAAGAGCAUCCUGGGAGAAUUGAGAGUCCUGAGUCCCAGGCGAUUCUUCCACUGUGUCAACCGCAGCUAAAGGGUUGGUCCCCUGCAGGGCUGCUUGUCCUCAGCAUAUGGAAGACAUCAGAUGCUCUGUAGGAAAGCGGUGGCCUCCUGCCACGGGCUGUAAUUAUGAGCCUGAACCAGGGCUGACUGGAGCAUCUUGCCUGGUGCCUUUGUCCUGGCUUUGCCGCCGGUUGGCUCUGUGACCUAGGACAGGUCCCUGCAGUCAUGCUGCUUAGUUGCCAAAGGAAACAGCAACACACCGGGUCAUAUGGACUAUGCCUACAGAGACUGCCUGAGAAAACAAAUCGGCAACAACAAAAAUGGGGAAGCGCAAGGAAAAUAAACCAGCAAAAGGAAUAAGAAAAACCUUCAAACCACAUUCAUUCAAAAAUCAUAAGAAUACAUCUCAAGUCUGCAAAGAAACUUCGGCCUUUUGGGAACAGUCUGUUGUCGCUGGAUGGAGGAGGCAUGUCUUUGAAUUCACAAGGUUUCUCAACUUCUUGAGACAGUGUAGCCAUUGCUCCCAUCCCAUAGCAACCUGCUAAGAGCUGUUACUCUUCCUGCACAAACAUACAGCGUCUUCCCUUUCCUUCCUCUAGCAGAGUCAAGACAGAGUUGAAAAACCUCACAACUUUAUACCACCAGAGACUCAUGGAUGGCAGAAGGGGAUUCACAUGGCAUAAUGUAACACAGGAUGUGGGAUACCCAUAGUGGAACGGCUCAUGCCCGCAGCCUGCAAAUCCUGCCUUCUCCCAGCUCCCUUCUGCGACCUCAUAGCGAGCCCUCGUUUGAAUCUUGAGGCCUGAAGUCUCUACCGAGAAAAUCUGGAGCACUGCUCUUGCUCAGUUCUGCUGUUUGUCAGAGCAUCUCUCUUCCCCUCAAAUGGCUGGGUGGUGAGAACGGCAUUGCCAAUCGGGACUCUAGGGCAACGGGCUUACUGGCUGCAACACUGCACCCAAGUCGAACUAGGGCAUGGUGCCCUUACUUUCAUUGCCAUGUAGAUAUUUCCCCCCAACUGAAACAUUUCCUGCAGAAUGUAAGAAGGCACCUAAGUCUCGGGAGCUAAUGACACUUGAGGACUCAGAAAGUUCUAGAUUUACAAGGCCCCUUCUGAAGGUUACAAGCAACAAACAAUUCCCAGGGAAGAAGAGAUUCUUCUGUCUGCAAAUUUGACAGGGGUGUCCAUGAAUGCAGCUUUCAAAACCAUCAUAUAGGCUGGGAUAGGCUUUUUAGUGACGUAGCUCCUUUGAGAUAGCCUUUGUUCUGGUUUGUUUUCUGUCACUGUGAUGAGCAUUGAGAACAGAAGCAACUUAGGGGAGAAAAUGGUUUGUAUCAACUCAUAUUUCCAGGCCACAGUCCAUCACUGAAGGAAGUCAAGCAGGAACCAUGGAGAACUGCUGCUUACUGGCUUGCUUCUCCCACUGGCUCUCCGCUGCCUUUUACAUACAGCUCAGGCCGACCUUCAUAGGGAUGGUGCCGCCCACAGUGGGCUGGGUCCUCCAACAAUGAUCAUCCAGCCAAAGAAUUCUUCAUAGAUAUGACCACAGGCCAAUUUGGUUGAAGAAAUUCUUUACCUGAGGUUUCUUCUUCCAAGGUGGACUCUAGGUUGUGUCAAGUUAAUAAUUAAAACUAACCAGAUACCCAAUGCUCUUGUAAGAAAACCCAGGAAACUCAUUGGUCCAUCAAGCUACACUUGAGUUGAAUUAUUUUUCUGAUCUGUAAUCAGUGCCUAGGGUAGAGAGAUGUUCAUUUGUGGCUCUCCGGGAGGAGCAUAGGACAAUAAUGAAUGCCUACACACCCAGCCCGUGUUACUGCCACUACCAUUCCUUCCUCUCUCAUCAUCACCUGUAGCCAUGAGGCUCCUGGCCAGUCUUUGGCCACCAUCCAUCUUCCCCACGUUGCUGGGUCUGAUGCUCAUGCCCUAGAAUUUUACAACUUGGCAAUUUGCAAAUUAUCUGCUCUUAGCAUUUGCUUGCUCUUUUAGAUUCUACCAAGUAUGACCCUCAAAGACAUUUUGCUUCUGUGGAUCACCUGUUAAUAUUUGCUAUCAGUAUUAAAGCAGAGGAAUUCAA